GGAAGGAAAGAAGAGGACUCUCAAGCCUCGGUAAAUGGCGAGGUAGCUGGGUUUGGGGAGAGGCGUUUAAACGUUCCGUCCACCUCAAGGGAAUCAGUCUUCCAGCUCUCUUGCUUCUGGAGGCCGCCGGUUCCGAGGCGUCGGGAGAAGGGUGCUCUCAGAGCCUGCGGGCUGGUGCUUCCCUCCUGACAGUCCCCGAGGUUGGAUAAGUACAGGUUCGAGGUGGAGGGUAGCUGAAGAAAAAGCUGAGAAUGAGAUCUUCCAGUAGACAGUAUAGAACGAAAAGAGAAGGCAGCCUGCUCUCUUCUUGAAACUCAUCUGUUGAACUCUGGGAGACUACCCCAUCCUAGUUCUGUACCUGCCUCCCUACUUCUGCAUUUCAACUGUUGCUGAUCCACAAGGAUUGGACCUUCCCCCCAACCCCUUGGAGAACUUAUCUGAUGACUCAGGGUACAGGUUGCUCUGGAGCUCCAGCCCUGGGAACCCUUCUCCAGAUUGUAGAGAGAAGGAGGCAGCACAGUGUAGUGGAAAGAUCAUGGCCCAGUGAAUCAGGCAGAUGUGCGCCUCAUCACCUGGGGGAAAAAACUCCAAUCUAAACAUCCUGGUCUUCAACUGUAAGAUGACUGCCGAGCUAUGAAGUUGUUCAGAGAAUUCAAAAGGUAAAAUGUGUGACAUGUCCAAAGAGUUUUUGUUUGACAGCAAGUAGAGUCUUAAAAUUUGUUCCCUCCCCUUUGCCAUUACCUACCCGUGAGCUGAUUCAGUGCUAACAACUCCAUCGGAUAUGCCUCGGAGAGUUCCUGUUUUCACCUAUGCAGUCACAGAGGCACAGAGAGGUUCCGUAACUGAUCUGAGGUCCCACAGCAGAUGGGGAGGGGUGCAGGGCAUAGUCUGGGAAGGAAGAUGACAUGAGGGAUGCUGCUUGGGUUGAGCGGGUGUCUGGCUCUGGGAAUGAACCCACUCAGGUGUAUAGGCCCCACCCCUGCUCCUUCCCCAGGACAGGUCUUCUCUGUCCUAACUGCUAAUUGCAGGGUGAAGGCCAGGAACUUCAUCUGGCAAACCUGGAGUUCGAGGCUGUCAGAAGAGAGGCACCACUCCCUUGUGCCUCUCAGGUGAGCCCUACCCAUCGUGCCAGGCUUCUUUUCAUCAGACAUGUUGAAGUAUCUGAUAUGUGUGCAAGGGGCAGCGUCAUUCUAGGUGCUGAGGAGAAGAAAGCACAAUACACGGAACUCUCACAUUUGUGGAGCUUUCAUUCCUGGCAGAGAAGAGGGCCCAAGCCCCCUUCAGUGAGGAAAAGCGGUGGAGUGACACACUGGGUUGAGUCCUCUGGAGACAAAACUCCAAUAGGAGAAGGGCCAUGGGAAGUGUGGUAAGGGAGUUUUGUGGGUAAAUUUACAGCUAGACCCAUCCCUGUGUUUUCUAGUACCCCCAAACCCGCUUUUUGGCAGAUGACCCAAAUAUUUCUUCCUCCUUCUCCCCAGAACCCUCAGUGUAUGACUCUCCACUGUAGUAAUCAUUUAUGAUCUUUUUCCCCUUGGAAAAUGGAAUGCAUAAAGCUGGAGGGAAGCUGAGGUCCCUUUCACCUCCUCACCUGCUUUCCUGGGCUAUCCCAUCCAUCUCUCAGAGACGUGCAGCCCCAGGCAGUCAGACCACAUGUGGGGGAUCGGUCUCUGAUCCUGGGGCCUCACUUUGUAAGGAUGGAGUGCCUCUGGAGGGAGCAGGAGGGCUAUGGUACCUUCAAGGGACCAGGAAACUCCCUCACAGAUGCUCAGCGACCCCAGCCUUGUUAGACCUGAGUGGACUUCCUGUGGAUGUGGACUUGCACAUGUCUUGUGUGCCGGACCAACAAAUAGAAAUACAACCAUGUGAAGAGGUACUCGGGAGAGAGACUGGACACCAACAAGAAUAUCUUAGGCCAGAUCUAACAAUGCAGGGGGGCCUCUGCCUGGCCUGAGCUCUAAGUAGGUGGAAACCCAGACAGGAUGUACUGUCUCUUGGAAAGGUUGUAGAGAGGACUCAAGUGGUUUGACCUGAAAUUUAUGAUUCUGUGAUUCUAAUGGGAUGCCUGAGGGCAGGUGAUGAGAAUAAAAAAAGCUGGAACCUCGUCCUUGGACCUUCUUGGGAAUGGGCCCCAGGAUGUUCCGGUUGUUUCUGCUGGGCGUAUUCACGGUGCUCUUCAUGAAUGAGGGUGAGGCCUGGUGAGGGUGCACUUGUCGGCGGGGGGAGGGGCGGGGGGGUGAAUGGGUGGGCAGAGAAUGUGUGGAGAGGAAGAGAGGGAUUUGGUGACUUGACUCUUGGGGCUGGUAUGAAGUGGUUCAAGGAGAAUUUUUCUUCUUCUCUUCACAGGAGACAGAGUCCUGACAUGGAAAUGUAUGGUGUAGUUCGUUUGCAAUUCUUGGAUAAAUAAUGCCACAAUGAGAGGGGACAUUUUUGAGUCUAUUACACAUUGUCUGUCUACUCCCCCUGACUGAUACCUCACUCUCCUCCCUCACUGUUCUAAUGUCUUCUUUUAGCCCCCAGUCUUGGGUGUGAAGGGGGUCCUUGGCUUCCUGAAGGGAGUCAUGAUUCCUGGUGGAAGCCAGGGAGGGUGUAGCAUCCUUCUUGUGAGUUUUGUGCCACCUGAGUGUAGAUGGUUACAGGUGGGGGCUGCUUCUACAGCAGAAUCCCUCUCCUGAGAGCUCUGCAUCUAAGUUUUCCUCUUUCUUUAGGGUUUCGAUUUUGCAAUGCAUGUGAUUUCUAUGAUGGAUUCACUUGCCUCAAGCCACAAAAAUCUUGCUCGAAAUUUAAUCUUUUCUUCCCGACGGCUUGUACCACAGACCACUUUUACUUUUAUCAUCGUCGUACAGUUGCUAGGUGAAAGGGGUUAUGUUAUACAUAAAGAGAGAACAGAUCCAUUCCCCCAAUGCAUUUGAAGUAAACAAGGAACUGAAACCAAUGAAAAUGGAAAGCGGAAUGUUGGAGCCCAAGUUGGGUUACGUGGUGGCAAUGCAAGUCACUAUGCAAAUAAAGACUCUUGGGAGGUUAUGCAUGGGUUAUCUCUGAGGUUCCCCCAGUGUUUAUCUGCACUCUUUUGCUGCAUUGUAUGCUUUGCCUUUAAAUAAAAGCUGUACUCAGUA
ensembl:lncRNA